CCAUUAUUGUAAGUUAAGCAGCUCAACAACCUAAGCUAGCUAGCAAGGUUAGCUUGCUUGCUUCCAUUUUUCUCAGAUCGAUUCAAAUCAUGUUUCUGGUGGCUUUGAUGUUUCUUGAGUCAGUAGCGAGAACAAUGGCGGAGCUGGCGAGACAGCCGGCGUCGACGAUGACAACAUUGUUGUACUACAGCGGUCUUCUUCCUCGGAACCUGGAUAGCUUGGAGCGGCUGGUCAGGAACGACCUCGUCGGCGGCGGGAAUAAUAAUAAUAAUUAUUAUUUGUUCCAUUUUCUCAUUCACUUUUUGCGAUGCUUUUGGUAGCUAUCUAGCUAAUUCCCCAGUAGCUAGUAUACUUUUCUAACAUCACGGAGCCGUCAGUGUCGUCGUCAAGAUUGAAGAGAGAUAGCUUCAUUUCGUAUUUCUUCUUUUUGAAGCAAUAACAACAUCUAUCAAUAGUUCGUUUAUGCAACCAGCAGAUUGGAUUUGUUCCGUGACU